CUGUGCUAGAUGGGGAGGUAGCGGUGCCCUGUAACCUGCAAUCCGCUAUAGCAGGGUUGAAUUCCUAAUCGAGGUUUGUAUGAUGUAAGGUCUGGCUAUUGCAAGUGGUGUUGAUGAAUGGGUCCUACGCAACGGAAGCCCAUGAACCCCGUCAGGUCCGGAAGGAAGCAGCGGUAAGUGGUGUCUAACGUGUGCCGCAGGGUCGCCUGUUCUGAGCUAACUACAAUAGUACGCUUGGGUGAUACUUAUCGAGCUUAGGUGCACAG
rnacentral:SRP_RNA from 1 species